AGCAUUGUGCAGUUGCAGUUUCAUAGCCAAUAAGGUUUAACUAAGGUGAGAUUAUUGCUUAUUGAAAACAAAACCUAACUCAAAUUCUAUCAUUCCCAUUUCCUAGCCUCUGGAAUGAUACAGAGGAGGUCUUUCAUGAUA
rnacentral:snRNA from 1 species